ensembl:lncRNA
CACACACACACACACACGCACACGCACACGUCGUUAAGAAGCACCGAUCACGGGGUUGGGGGGUAUUGAUGUCUAUCGAUGAGCUGGACGAGACCCUCUGAUGUGUUGGGAAUCAAACGUGCGGCCUGUCUCUCUCACUCUGUCAUUUGACUUUUGAAAAGAGGGAGAACACACACAUGAAUGCUCAUACAUCCCCCUCCACUUACAAACACACAUUAAUACACACAUGCACAUAAUCACACACAUAUGUAUUCCCCCACCCUAAGGCCACACACACGCACAUGCACACACUCACGCCGCCCUAACGCACACACUCACGCAUUCAUUCCCCAAACACACACACACUCCCUCCACCGUAUGUAAUUAUUCUGCAGAGGACACACACAUCCUUGUCCCUCCUCCCACACCUCAAAGGUCACCGUCCCAGCGGGCCAACCGCUUCCAAGACCCCCCGUCCCACACCAGACUGGGACCGGCCGACCCGCUCCCAGUCUCCCCGCCCCACAGCAGACUGGGAGCGGGCCAUCAGCCUCCAGCUCAUCCUGUAUCCGCGUAGUGGGCGGGCUCAACAAGCAGAACCAUUGAGCCGCGCUCCCCCAUUCAGUCCUGAAUGCUGAAUGGCAUUCCUGCUCCCAGAUCCGUCUCCUCAAUGGACUCAGUCAGCCAAUGCGUCUUCCUCUACCACCUUCUAAAACAUUAACCUUUGCUGCGUGUGUCGUGCUUUAUUUGAGGUGGAUUCUUGUAUAUUCAGCUGCCUUUGAAAAAUAUAGAUCUGUGUUUUCUGGACAGAGGACUUCAAACACGGCUGCUGUCCGUUAUCAACGUCCAGUGGAUGGAUGACUUCAACAGAGCGGAGAGCUGGGUCCAAGAGGAGGAGAGGAACACCGGGAACUAGACGGCUCCACCUGUGAUGAUCCCUCUCUGUACGGAGGCUCAGACAGUGUCAGGGACUCGACGUUCCAACGUUAAACAUGGACGGGGACCAAUGGGUUCACAGGGGUUGGAUGAUGCAUGGAGGACCACAGACAGACGGAGGGAGUGAAGAGCGAAGGAAACUGCAGCUCUCCUGGGGUCCCAGCAGGCGUCUCAUGGCCUGCAUCAGUAAGCCUGGGUUGUUUCUUUACGUUGCUCGGCCUCACAUCCUCACAUCCCAUCAACCUCACAUCCUCUCAGCCUCUCAUCCUAUAAACCUCACAUCCUCUCAGCCUCACAUCCUCUCUGCCUCACAUCCUCUCUGCCUCACAUCCUCUCUGCCUCACAUCCUCUCUGCCCCACAUCCUCUCUGCCCCACAUCCUCUCUGCCCCACAUCCUCUCUGCCUCACAUCCUCUCUGCCUCUCAUCCUCUCUGCCCCGCAUCCUCUCUGCCUCACAUCCUCUCGGCCUCACAUCCUCUCUGCCCACAUCCUCUCGGCCUCACAUCCUCUCGGCCUCACAUCCUCUCUGCCCACAUCCUCUCGGCCUCGGAAACGUGAUAGAAAAAUGUUUUCUGGGUUCAACAGACGUCCAACCAGGAGCUGCAGUUUCCUUCCUUUAAACCAAUGGGGAGACGGCGAGCCCCCC